rnacentral:rRNA from 1 species
UGGGUUAGUGGCGGACGGGUGAGUAACGCGUGGGUAACCUGCCUUACACAGGGGGAUAACACGUUAGAAAUAGGUGCUAAAACCGCAUAAGCGCACAGCUUCGCAUGAAGCGGUGUGAAAACUCCGGUGGUGUAAGAUGGACCCGCGUCUGAUUAGCUUGUUGGCGGGGUAACGGCCCACCAAGGCGACGAUCAGUAGCCGGCCUGAGAGGGCGGACGGCCACAUUGGGACUGAGACACGGCCCAGACUCCUACGGAAGGCAGCAG